rnacentral:misc_RNA from 1 species
UCCGGCUUCCCGCCGGCAGUCUCCCGAGAGUCCCCGCCUUUACGCGCUGGCAACACGGGACAAGGGUUGCGCUCGUUGCGGGACUUAACCCAACAUCUCACGACACGGGCUGACGACAGCCAUGCAGCACCUGUCACUUGGUUCCCGAAGGCACACCCGUAUCUCUACAGGCUUCCAGGGAUGUCAAGAGUAGGUAAGGUUCUUCGCGUUGCGUCGAAUUAAACCACAUGCUCCACCGCUUGUGCGGGCCCCCGUCAAUUCCUUUGAGUUUUAGCCUUGCGGCCGUACUCCCCAGGCGGGGCACUUAAUGCGUUAGCGGCGGCACGGGAGGAGUCGACACCUCCCACACCUAGUGCCCAUCGUUUACGGCGUGGACUAC